rnacentral:tRNA from 1 species
GGAGCAUUAGCUCAGAGGAAGAGCGCUUGGUUGCGAACCAAGAGGUCGGAGGUUCGAGUCCUCCAUGUUCCA